UUGGGAUGGUAGGACCAGAGGGG
rnacentral:miRNA from 1 species